rnacentral:rRNA from 1 species
GUCCACGCUGUAAACGAUCGGUACUAGAGAUGGUGGGAGUUGACCCCUGCCGUCUCGGAGCUAACGCGAUAAGUACCGCGCCUGGGAAGUACGGUCGCAAGACUAAAACUCAAAGGAAUUGACGGGAGCCCCGCACAAGCGGUGGAUUAUGUGGUUUAAUUCGAAGCAACGCGCAGAACCUUACCUAGGUUUGACAUCCUUUGACAAUGUUAGAGAUAACACUUUCGUAGCAAUACGACAAAGAGACAGGUGCUGCAUGGCUGUCGU